rnacentral:tRNA from 1 species
UGGCGCUGUGGGGCGGGUCGCUGGCCUUCCCGCUGCUCCAGGCGGCCGGACUCGUCGCGGUGGGGCGGGCGUUGGAGCUGCCGGUGCCGGC